CGUAGGGUGCGAGCGUUAAUCGGAAUUACUGGGCGUAAAGCGUGCGCAGGCGGUUUGUUAAGAUAGGCGUGAAAUCCCCGGGCUCAACCUGGGAACUGCGCUUAUGACUGGCAAGCUAGAGUACGGCAGAGGGGGGUGGAAUUCCACGUGUAGCAGUGAAAUGCGUAGAGAUGUGGAGGAACACCAAUGGCGAAGGCAGCCCCCUGGGUCGAUACUGACGCUCAUGCACGAAAGCGUGGGUAGCAAACAGGAUUAGAUACCCUGGUAGUCCACGCCCUAAACGAUGUCAACUAGGUGUUGGAUGGGGUAAAACCAUUUAGUACCGGAGCUAACGCGUGAAGUUGACCGCCUGGGGAGUACGGCCGCAAGGUUA
rnacentral:rRNA from 1 species